UACGGAAGGGCGAGCAGUGGGGGAAGUAAUUGCACAAUGGGCGCAAGCCUGAUGCAGCCAUGCCGCGUGUAUGAAGAAGGCCUUCGGGUUGUAAAGUACUUUCAGUCGUGAGGAAGGUGUUAAGGUUAAUAACCUUAGCAAUUGACGUUAGCGACAGAAGAAGCACCGGCUAACUCCGUGCCAGCAGCCGCGGUAAUACGGAGGGUGCGAGCGUUAAUCGGAAUUACUGGGCGUAAAGGGCACGCAGGCGGUUAAUUAAGUUGGAUGUGAAAUCCCCGGGCUUAACCUGGGAAUGGCAUUCAAGACUGGUUAGCUAGAGUCUUGUAGAGGGGGUAGAAUUCCAUGUGUAGCGGUGAAAUGCGUAGAGAUGUGGAGGAAUACCGGUGGCGAAGGCGGCCCCUGGACAAAGACUGACGCUCAUGUGCGAAAAGCGU
rnacentral:rRNA from 1 species